CACGAUUUUGGAUUGUUCUCUAUCAUCACUGAUCAUGGUAACCAGGAGAUCAUCAGAUGCGGUACUGCAGAGAUUGCGAGGUUCCCACCCCUGUAGUGUGAUCACGAGAAUUGACCUGGACUGUACCUCUCCCGUUAAACAGGUACACUACCUGUAUCCCGCUAAUCACCUGUAGUACCACAGUGGCGGAUCCAGAGGGAGUUAACAGGUGGAAGUACCUACACAGUGGCGGAUCUAGAGGGAGUUAACAGGUGGAAGUACCUACACAGUGGCGGAUCUAGAGGGAGUUAACAGGUGGAAGUUGGAUUUUUAGAGCUGAAUAAAUGUUUUAAGAAAUCC